rnacentral:rRNA from 1 species
CCUACGGGUGGCAGCAGUGGGGAAUAUUGCACAAUGGGCGAAAGCCUGACGCAGCGACGCCGCGUGAGUGAUGAAGGUCUUCGGAUCGUAAACCUCUGUCAGCAGGGAAGAACGGUCACGGUGCUAAUCAGCAGUGAAUUGACGGUACCUGCAAAGGAAGCACCGGCUAACUCCGUGCCAGCAGCCGCGGUAAUACGGAGGGUGCGAGCGUUAAUCGGAAUUACUGGGCGUAAAGCGCUCGUAGGCGGUAUGUCAAGUCAAGGGUGAAAUCCCCGCGCUGAACGUGGGAACUGCAUUUGAAACUGGCAGACUGGAGUGUGUGAGAGGAUAGUGGAAGUCCAGGUGUAGGAGUGAAAUCCGUAGAUAUAUGGAGGAACAUCAGUGGCGAAGGCGACUAUCUGGCACAUAACUGACGCUGAGGAGCGAAAGCGUGGGUAGCAAACAGGAUUAGAUACCCCGGUAGUC